UCUGUCUGUUGUUUAGGUAUGGCGCGGUCUGGAAGGCCGAGAGGCGGCUGGAACCUGGGCCGGAGUUUCUCUCGCUGCUGACCGCCACCAGGGCCGAGCGGGCCAUGGGGGAGCCUGGCCCGUUGGUCCCGGGAGGCCUCGCCGGCGGCCGGCGCUGGUGCUUGCGCCGGGUGGGGAUGAACGCCGAGUGGCUGCUGCUGGAGGACGGGCGCGAGGUGACUAUAGGACGAGGACUUGGUGUCACAUACCAACUGGUAUCAAAAAUCUGCCCUCUAAUGAUUUCCCGAAACCACUGUGUUUUGAAGCAGAAUCCUGAGGGCCAGUGGACGAUUGUGGACAAUAAGAGUCUGAAUGGUGUUUGGCUGAACAAAGAACGCUUGCAACCAUUACAGGUUUACUUACUCCAUAAGGGAGACCACAUCCAGCUCGGAGUGCCACUGGAAAAUAAGGAGAAUGCGGAAUAUGAAUAUGAAGUUACUGAAGAAGACUGGGAGAGUGUUUAUCCCUGCCUCGCCCCAAAGAAUGACCAGAUGCUCGAAAAAAAUAAGGGCUUGAGAACUAAACGGAAAUUUAGUUUAGAUGAAUUAGAGGGUCUUGGCGCUGAAGGCCCCUCAAAUUUGAAAUCCAAAAUAAGUAAAGUGUCUUGUGAGCCUGGCCAGUCAGUGAAGGUGCAUGGGGAGAGUGGAGUGGCAGGCCAGCCCUUGCAGUGUUUGUAUCCGGAGUCAACUCCUCUUGAGGACACUGAGAAGACCAUGGGGGCUCAUAAUCACCCUGGCGCCCCAAAAGUCAGACAGCUUCACCAUAAGAAGCAGAAAGCCUCGAACCCUUCAGCACCUCAGAGCAGCUUAGAGCUGUUUAAGGUGACCAUGACUAGGAUUCUGAAGCUGAAAACACAGAUGCAGGAAAAACAAGUAGCUGUUCUGAACGUGAAAAGGCAAACACAAAAGGGGAACUUAAAGAAAAUUAGGAAAAUGGAGCAGGAACUGCAGGAUUUACAGUCCCAGCUGUGUGCAGAGCAGGCUCAGCAGCAGGCCAGAGUGGAGCAGCUAGAGAGGACUUUGCAGGAAGAGGAACAUCAUCUCCAGGGUUUGGAGAAAAACCAAGAGGAGGACCUGAAGCAACAGUUGGCACAGGCUCUGCAGGAGCACCAGGCUCUCAUGGAAGAGCUAAGUCGCAGCAAGAAGGACUUUGAAACAAUCAUUCAAGCCAAGAACAGAGAACUGGAGCGGACCAAGGAAGAAAAGGAAAAGAUGCAGGCACAGAAGGAAGAAGUUCUUAGCCACGUGAAUGAUGUGCUGGAGAAUGAACUCCAAUGUAUUAUUUGCUCAGAAUACUUCAUUGAAGCUGUCACCUUGAACUGUGCCCACAGUUUCUGCUCCUACUGUAUCGGGGAAUGGAUGAAGCGGAAGGUAGAAUGCCCCAUUUGUCGGAAGGACAUUGAGUCCAAAACCCACUCCCUGGUUCUGGACAAUUGCAUUGAUAAAAUGGUGGAUAAUCUCAGCUCAGAGGUGAAAGAACGACGAAUCGUCCUUAUAAGGGAACGAAAAGAGUCUUUGAAAGGAGCGUUGGGGGAAUGGCGGCAAGGUUUCUGGCAGACCGAACCCACCCAGAGAGAAUACUUGUUGAAAGCAAAGAGUCUGUCAUGAAGUGCGUGCGCUAAAUGCAUUUGAAAGACUCGGAGGAGAUAGGAGCUUGUGAUGGUCUGGAGGAUUCUCUCUCCUAGGCAGUCUCACAAGUAAACACUGGCAGCUCAUAGAUUACAACAAAAUGACUGUAUCAGAUGAUAGACUUCAAGUGAAUGUCAGCCUGGCAAGCCCAAGGUCAUGGUCACACAGGUGGGCUCAGUCGUGUUCCCUUUUUAUUCCUGAGAUGGGGUCACUGCUUGCCUUGUUUUGGGGUGGGGGGAAUUCCUUUCCUCAGCUGCUGUUCUCAUGUUUCCAGAUUUCCAAAGCAAUGUCAUGAACACGCAUCAACCGUGGACGAUGAUUUUAUGAGAACUUGAAUUAAAAGUCCCUCUUUUGACCACUUUCCCUUUUUAAACAGAAAAAAACAGUUUGGGGGCUGGCAGCGUGGCUCAAGUGGCAAAGUACCUGCCUAGCAGGUAUGAGGCCUUGAAUUCAAACCCCAGUACCACCAAGAAAGAAAAAAGAAAAGCCAGUUUUGGUGUUUAGUAAGUAAAAGCUUUGGGCAACCUAUGGUAUCAUUGGUUACCUGUGAUGUGCAUGAGGGAAAAUAAACAGGGAUUGAAGAGUGGUCUUUUAAAACUGAGAGCCCCUCUUCCUAGUAGGACUGUAAAACUCCAUUUUAUCACUUAAUGAUUUUCUCCCCUCUCCCUUUUAUUGUCUUGUCUAGAGAACCAUUCUAUUUUAGCUCUUUAUACCCUUUGUAGUUUCAUAAAUGGUUGGAAACUAUUGAUUUGCCAACUUUUUAGGGAUGGUAUGAGGUUUUCUUUCAUUGGGUAUACUCUGAACACUCCAGUUGUGGAGUCCCUAAUCUAAUUUUCAUCUUUCUCCACAUGACUUCUGAUUGAAAUUCUGGUAUAUGGCUGAGGAUGUAGCUCAGUGGUAGAGCACUUGACUAGCAUGUGUGUGAGGCCCCGGUUCCAUUCCCAGCACUGCAGGCAAAGAAAAAAGAAAUACAUAAUUACAUUGUAAAAACUCUGAACAAAACAAGAAAAUGACUGUUAUCACCUUGAUGUAAUGGCUUCCUGUUUCCCUACACAUGUAUUUAAUUCACUUGAUUGCAUGGAUAAUAGCUAAGGUUUUAUAUAUUCUGUCUUAAGUUCACAUAUUGUAAUUUACUCUUAAGAGUACAGGUACACCUUUUGUGACUGGGUAAUAUGUUUUGAUGUUUUGAAAUCAAAAGGCAUAAGAAGACACAAUAAAAAGCUGCUCACUCCUUUCCCCAGUGACCCCUCACAGGCAGCGAGAGUUACAGUUCCCCAUCUGCCCUUCCAGAGACCUUGUCUGAAUAUACGAGCAAAUGCACUUGUCUUCUCCAUUCUCUCAAGUGAAUGAUAAACUGCGUGCUACUCUGUACCUUCUUGUCUUUCAGAUAUAGUUUGGCAGUACUCCUGUGUCAGUACAUAAAGAACUCUUCUUUUUUUCUUACAGCUGAAAUUAUUUCAUUGUGUGUUAACACUGUGAUUUGCUUUUCCAGCCUAGUUUUUGCUUUUUUCUUUUUUGGUGGUGGGAUUGAACCCAGGGCCUUGUGCGUGCAAGCAUGUACUCUACCACUGAGCUACCCUCCUCGCACUCCAGCCUGAUUCUGGUAGAAUUUAGCUUGCUAUGGACACCCGUGACCAUACAUCGUUAAAGAAAGAUCCCUCAAGAACACUUGACUUAAAGAGGGUGAAGGUGUCUGCAAAGACUGACCUCACAGACUGACCUUCCCAGCAUGCAGCCUCUCCUUUUAGAACACCACCUCCCUCAAGUAUGCCAUAGAUUGAGAAACUGAGCUCGGAAAGAAUACUAAAUCAAUUAAAAUUAAAAGUCAUACUAGCUGGAUUUGAAUCCUAGUCCUGCUGCUUGUGAACUUAGGCAAGUUACUGAACUCUUUGAGCCUUGGUGUCUUCAUCUUCAUCUCUAAGUGGAUCUCCGUAUCUAAAUUAUUGCAGCAAAGUAGGCCUAAAUAAUUUUGUCCCAGUUAUUGCACUGCUCACAAACAAAAGCCAUAAUGUAGCUGACCAUGGUCACACACUGUAACCAAGAACUGUGGAGGUGAAGUUAGGAAAUUGUGAGUUCAAGACCAGCUGGGCCGUGUAGUGAGUUCACAGCCAGAAUCUUGCUAUGUAGCCCAGGUUGGUCAGGAACUCGCAAACCACCUGUCUCAGUCACCCGAGUACUGGGAUUACAAGCAUGGACCACUACACCAGCUCAGAAUGUUCUGUUUUUAAAGACACACAUGCACACACAAGAUUAACCCAAACUUGCAUUAUUUCUCUGAGCUACAGGAUGUACCUUCCCUGGAGAGAUAAUCUCAUAUUAAACAUCAUCUGCAUUUUGCUUGCCUAGAAAAAUACAUGGUAACUUUUCUGCCUUGCAGCACCAAAUGACAGUAUAGCUGAGCCCCACUGCUGUGCUGUCUGCCUCUAAUUAAAGGCAUGUUCUGUGCAUCAGGGCUCAGAGAAACUGGGGAGGGAGUGUUUGUUUCACAUUCUGGCUUUAUUAAGCAGAUAAAUGCAGCCAGCUCUGUGAGGCGCUUUGCAGUGAGUGGCAGGUGUCCCACUGCCAUCCAGUUACUGCAGCCUAGGAAGAGUGCACUCUGCCCCUCGGCUUGCUUCAUCCCAGCAAUCAGAUUGCUGAGGCAGGGAAUGCCCUUUGUGGACUAGAUAGCUGGGUCCUUGUCAUCUGUCUCUGAUUGGGAGCUGCUGUUUUUUUAUCUAAAAAAAAAAAAACAAAAUCCCCUCAUUAUCUCUGGCCUGUCUCUCAUUACUCCUCUCCUCUGAGUGACCAUCUGAGCAGUAACAACUGCAGGAGUGUGUAGGAUGGGCAGCUCUCUCCAACUGCCUGCUUGCUUUUUAUAGCCUUACUCUAACUGAAAAAUCUCACCCCACAAACAAGAAACCUGGGGUUGUCUGAGUCUGCCUGGUAUGUUCAUCUGACAUUCAUUCCACCAGAUUGCAGGUGAAUCAUCUGAUCAGCUCUAUUUGAUGUAGAGACUUAGAAAGGAAUCUCUAACUUGAUUGUGGUCCUAAUCUAAGAACCUAAGAUCAGGAGAACCCAGGAAUCACUGUCUCUUGCCAGACUCACAGCUUCUUAAGUAAGAGGUACAGGCCUGAUUGGAGCAGAAUGGUGCCUUAGCCACAGUAGGCCAAAGGAUUCUUCUGAACACUGGAGUGCUUCAUUCAGAGAAAAAAACUUUAUCUGCUCAAUAUUUUUUAGCUUUUUCUGCAAAUGGGAUUUGAGGCAGUUGGAGUAGCCAGCUCCUGGGAAGACGAUGGGGCCUUUGUGUUGCUGAAAAAUAAUGAGCUAUCAUGUUCAGUUGGUUUUUCAGUUUAGAUAACCCUACAGGGACCAAGCAUGGUGGUGCAUGUGUCUGUGAUCCCAGCUACACGGGAGGAAGAGGUGUGAGGAUCAAGGUCCAAGGCCACCCCAAGACCUUAUCUGAAAAAUAACUAAAAGCAAGGCCCUGCAUUCAAACUUCAGUACCAUUAAAAAAAAAAAGAGAGAGAGAAGAAAAGCCUAUGGUAGGAAAGGGUUGGACCUGUAAUAGGUGCUCAGCAAAUCCUUAGAUGCUAUAAUUCCUUUGUUGACCACGUCGCCAUGAUGGGCCACCUGAACUCAUUUAAUCUCCAGGAUGUGUUUCCUGCUUGCUGCUGCUUCUAUCAAAUUCUAGAGUGGAUCCCUCCCUCAGAUCCAGUUUCCAGACCCACUGCCCCUGGUGUCCAUUUCCCUUUCUUUGGGCUUUGUGUGAAUACUUCAAUCU